UGUAUAUCUAAUUGUAAGUUGCUCUGGAUAAGAGCGUCAGCUAAAUGACUCAAA
rfam:Salmo salar isolate Sally breed double haploid chromosome ssa09, whole genome shotgun sequence.